rnacentral:rRNA from 1 species
GGCUGCGGCCUAACACAUGCAAGUCGAGCGGUAGAGAGAAGCUUGCUUCUCUUGAGAGCGGCGGACGGGUGAGUAAUGCCUAGGAAUCUGCCUGGUAGUGGGGGAUAACGUUCGGAAACGGACGCUAAUACCGCAUACGUCCUACGGGAGAAAGCAGGGGACCUUCGGGCCUUGCGCUAUCAGAUGAGCCUAGGUCGGAUUAGCUAGUUGGUGAGGUAAUGGCUCACCAAGGCGACGAUCCGUAACUGGUCUGAGAGGAUGAUCAGUCACACUGGAACUGAGACACGGUCCAGACUCCUACGGGAGGCAGCAGUGGGGAAUAUUGGACAAUGGGCGAAAGCCUGAUCCAGCCAUGCCGCGUGUGUGAAGAAGGUCUUCGGAUUGUAAAGCACUUUAAGUUGGGAGGAAGGGUUGUAGAUUAAUACUCUGCAAUUUUGACGUUACCGACAGAAUAAGCACCGGCUAACUCUGUGCCAGCAGCCGCGGUAAUACAGAGGGUGCAAGCGUUAAUCGGAAUUACUGGGCGUAAAGCGCGCGUAGGUGGUUUGUUAAGUUGGAUGUGAAAUCCCCGGGCUCAACCUGGGAACUGCAUUCAAAACUGACUGACUAGAGUAUGGUAGAGGGUGGUGGAAUUUCCUGUGUAGCGGUGAAAUGCGUAGAUAUAGGAAGGAACACCAGUGGCGAAGGCGACCACCUGGACUAAUACUGACACUGAGGUGCGAAAGCGUGGGGAGGCAACAGGAUUAAAUACCCUGUAGUCCACGCCGUAACCAUGUCCACUACCCUUUG